UACGGAGGAUGCGAGCGUUAUCCGGAUUUAUUGGGUUUAAAGGGUGCGUAGGCUGAAGAUCAAGUCAGCGGUGAAAUGUCCCGGCUCAACCGGGGCCUUGCCGUUGAAACUGGUCAUCUGGAAUGCGGAUGCCGUGGGAGGAAUGUGUGGUGUAGCGGUGAAAUGCAUAGAUAUCACACAGAACACCGAUUGCGAAGGCAUCUCACGAAUCCGCAAUUGACGCUGAGGCACGAAAGCGUGGGGAUCAAACAGG
rnacentral:rRNA from 1 species